AACUUUGGACAAGGGAUCUCUUGGCUCUCGCAUCGAUGAAGAACGCAGCGAAAUGCGAUAAGUAAUGUGAAUUGCAGAAUUCAGUGAAUCAGCGAAUCUUUGAACGCACCUUGCGCUCUGUGGUAUUCCGAAGAGCAUGCCUGUUUGAGUGUCAUGAAAAUAUCAACCUUGACUUGGGUAUAGUGCUCUGUUCUUGGCUUGUAUUUGGCUGUUUGCCGCUCUAAAGAGUCGGCUCAGCUUAAAAGUAUUAGCUGGAUCUGUCUUUGAGACUUGGUUUGACUUGGCGUAAUAAGUUAUUUCGCUGAGGACAAUCUUCGGAUUGGCCGAGUUUCUGGGACGUUUGUCCGCUUUCUAAUACAAGUUCUAGCUUGCUAGACAUGACUUUUUUAUUAUCUGGCCUCAAAUCAGGUAGGACUACCCGCUGAACUUAAGCAUAUCAAUAAGCGGAGGCU
rnacentral:misc_RNA from 1 species